UGGGCAAUGGCGGGCGCCCCUCCCCCCGCCUCGCUGCCGCCUUGCAGUUUGAUCUCAGACUGCUGUGCUAGCAAUCAGCGAGACUCCGUGGGCGUAGGACCCUCCGAGCCAGAGAUGGGAUCUUACUACAUUGCCCAGGCUGAAGUGCAGUGGCUAUUAACAGCUGUAAUCAUAAUGCAUUGCAGCUUUGAAUUCCUGGGCUUGAGCGACCUCCCCACCUUAGCCUCCUGAGUAGCUGAGACUACAGGAAAUAAACUUAAGGAGAAAGAAGAAACAAAGAUGGGGCGGAAAUGUAAGAGAGGCAUUCUAAUAUAUGCAUUCUUCAUAACAACUGUGUGAAACAUAUUAAUAUCCUCAUUGUUAACGAUGAAGAAACUAAAUCUCAGGAAGAAAAACUAAGUGAAGACAAAAGAAGGAUUUGAACUGAGGUUUGUCAGACUCUCGGGACCAUGCUGUUGAAACCACUAAACCACGCUGCCUCUGGGUCACUUGAUUAUUCUGGGAGAUUCUGGGAGUCUUUUCUCCAACACUCCAGUGGCAUCUGACUAUGUGAGCUGAUAAGAUCUAUAGAUCUCCCCAGCAGUUGUUGAAAAGCAAGAGCAGGAACCGAGAGAAAGCCCCUUCUUUUAGUCGAAAACUCUUACUCUGCUUAGGAAAACCAUGAACCCAAACAGUGUGGGUCAGCCUUUCAAUAUGCAAAACGGACGAAGGCUGAAGCAAUCACAUGCCAUGCACAACUGUCAAACGGCAAGAAUGAAUGAUGGAUGGAAAGAAUGGGAAUGUGUACGUUAUCUUGCUCCACUUUGGACAGUCAUGAUCAUGGAAGAUAGAAGAGGGAUUUCUUAACAUUGGUCAGAGAAGAGGGUAUCAGUUAGCUGGAAGUGCUACUCUGAAAAACUGAUGGCCCUUUGCAGGUGUGACCCUGAGCUCUGCUGGAUUUCUUGUGAAGAAAACUCCAAGGAAUGGAUGAAUGCCUGGAAACUUACUGCUGGAAGUCAUAAGGCAAUGACAAGAAAAUAGCAUAUCAUUGGAAGACUUGACCCAUGGGAUCUAUAAAUUCCUAGGGAAGCUCCUUACUAUAAUUUGUUUGGUUUCUAUGGAAUCCAACAAGAAAAGAAAUAGCGAAACAUGUGGGUUGUCUCCUCUUUGGCACUAAGCCUGGGAGAAUAUGAAGAUAUCUGAAAACAAAGAGGCUUCCUUCAGGUGUUCAGGAGGGGGCUAACACUGCCUACUUGUAUGUCAAGGGCCCAUGGGAGUAGACACUCCCAGAAUGCUACCACUUGGAUUCUCCAGGGAUCAUAUGUGAUACCAAUCAGCUGACAAAGAAAAUAACAACCCAUCUAAGGGGAUUCAGCAGCUAGAAAGAAAAUGAGUAUGCCAAGCAAACUGAAUACACGACCAGCAAAAUAGAACUUCAAAAGGAGACAAAAUACAACAUUCUCUCUCUCUCUGUGUGUGUGUGUGUGUGUGUGUGUGUGUGUGUUUGCAUGUAAAUAACAAAAUUCAAGUUCUGGACACAAUUUUUAGAGCUAAACACAUGACCUUCCAACUAAACUUUUUAUUAGAUAUCAAAGAAGCUGGUCACUGUUGAGGUGAAGAUCAAGUGCAAGAUACAUUUUGAGGCACAGAGCAAAAAUGUAAAGAAUCAGAAAAAGACAAGAGACUUGAGGAUUUAAUCCAAACAACUGAACAGCUAAAAACAAGAGCUACAGGGGCAGAAGAAGAAAAAGUUUAAGAAAGAGACAGUAUAUUAUUUUCUCUGAGAAGAGGUAAAGCUGGAAACCUGUUGUAAGCAAGAUUUAUUGAAUUUUCUCAUCAUAGUCUUAAAAGAGCAGUACUCCAAUAGGUCUUGUUUACUAAAGGAAGAUUUGUUGAAAGAAUCAAACAACUGAUGGAGGCUGAUGAAAAGAAUACAUGACGAUCAAUGACACUUGGUACACACGUUCACACUCACAGACACAUACACAAACGUUGGAUAGGAAAAGGCUGGCUGGCAACAUGUGGCAACAGUGCUCUGUAAGGACUCUUGAAGUAGAAUAAAUAGUCUUACUGAAA